CCUACGGGGGGCUGCAGUGGGGGAUAUUGCACAAUGGGGGAAACCCUGAUGCAGCGACGCCGCGUGUGGGAAGACGGUCCUCUGGAUUGUAAACCACUGUCCCCAGGGACGAAGAUGACGGUACCUGGGGAGGAAGCUCCGGCUAACUACGUGCCAGCAGCCGCGGUAAUACGUAGGGAGCGAGCGUUGUCCGGAAUUACUGGGUGUAAGGGGAGCGUAGGCGGGACUGCAAGUUGGGUGUCAAAUCUACCGGCUCAACCGGUAGCCGCACUCAAAACUGCAGUUCUUGAGUGAAGUAGAGGCAGGCGGAAUUCCUAGUGGAGCGGUGAAAUGCGUAGAUAUUAGGAGGAACACCAGUGGCGAAGGCGGCCUGCUGGGCUUUUACUGACGCUGAGGCUCGAAAGUGUGGGGAGCAAACAGGAUUAGAUACCCGAGUAGUC
rnacentral:rRNA from 1 species